CAGACUAAACCCCACCACAAGGCCUUUGGUACAGCACAGAGGAGCAGACUAAACCCCACCACAAGGCCUUUGGUACGGCACAGAGGAGCAGACUAAACCCCACCACAAGGCCUUUGGUACGGCACAGAGGAGCAGACUAAACCCCACUACAAGGCCUUUGGCCCGGCACAGAGGAGCAGACUAAACCCCACCACAAGGCCUUUGGUACAGCACAGAGGAGCAGACUAAACCCCACUACAAGGCCUUUGGCCCGUCACAGAGGAGCAACACUAAUUCUACAAGCUGAGCUGUAUUGCAGUGUUGACAGCAGCCUCUGAGACACACUUCAAGGCUGUCAUUGUGUUCCACUUUACAUAGUGUUCUAUUGGUGUGAUGCCACAUCUUCCAGGGAACGUUAGCUGCCAGGCAACACAAUGUUAGUUACAGGAAGGUAGGCCAACAAAUUACAUUAUUUAAGUAGGUUUAUAAAGACAAUAUAUGUAUAGAUAGUUUAUAGUUUUUUUAUAGUUUUUGGUUUAAGUUUAUACAUCUGUAACAAACAGUGAUUGUUAUUUUGGAUCUGCAACAUAGCGAGCUUGUGUUACCGAAUAGUGUAGGCAUAAAUGCUGAAUUGUGCGCCAUGGAACAAAGACAUCUCCGGUAUCUAGACUGAGGCUGUAUUGAGGCUAUGUAUCUGAGCAUGGACUGGGGCCAUCUAUUAAACGUUAAUGAUAACUGCAACAGCCCCACACAUGCAGAGACAGCAGACUACCUGGAGCAAGGAGAAGUGGUCCCUGCUCUCCAUUCACCUCGACAGACAGACAGACAGCCUGGGUAGCUGAAUAACAAAUCCUGGAACAUUUAUGUGCCUUUCUGAUACACCAAGAUGAUACCAAGAAGCUCUGUUUCUGUCCAAGAUCACCCACCAACAUCAUACAGACUGGCUGGUGGGCAGACAUGAGCUGGUGUGAAGGUAAAUGUUAUUGUCUGAGGUGAAGUUACAUGGUUAUCAGCUAAGCUAAUUAACUAAUUAUCAACCAAUUAGUGAAUGAGGCCUCAUUAAAGUCUCUCUAGGCUCAUUAGGGAAGCAGAUGACAAAAUGCAAUACAAAAACAUCCAUCAAGAUUAAUUCAUCAGAUUGAGUUCACUACGGUCACUCACAAACACGCCUGUCUGUCAAUCAUCCAAAUGUAUUUAUGAAGCCAUUUUACACCAAUACUGGUUACGUAAUGUGACCGACACAGACACUAAGGCAUUAAAGCAACCACAGCAGAAGCGUGUGCAGGGCUCUACACUGGCCUUUUUAACAAGGAGCACGUGUGUGACUAAAUUGAAAAAUGGAAGCGCACACAAAUACAUUUAGGAGCACAAUAAAAAAUAUUUGAGGUAAUAAAGCAAGAAUGCUUCAUUUUUCUAGGCGCACUGGUGCUCCUAAAUAAAUUGUCCAGGUUGCACAGCAAAAUAUUUAAGAGCAUAUGCAAGUAAAAUGGUUGCACUGUAGAACCCUGCUGUGUGAGAGAAACAGAGAAAUACCGGUAGGUAACUCUGCUCCGGAAGGAUCCCUGCCUGGCACUUGGUCUAGGUGUAAUAUAAUCUAACACGUCUAGGUGUAAUAUAAUCUAACACGUCUAGGUGUAAUAUAAUCUAACACGUCUAGGUGUAAUAUAAUCUAACACGUCUAGGUGUAAUAUAAUCUAACACGUCUAGGUGUAAUAUAAUCUAACACGUCUAGGUGUAAUAUAAUCUAACACGUCUAGGUGUAAUAUAAUCUAACACGUCUAGGUGUAAUAUAAUCUAACACGUCUAGGUGUAAUAUAAUCUAACACGUCUAGGUGUAAUAUAAUCUAACACGUCUAGGUGUAAUAUAAUCUAACACGUCUAGGUGUAAUAUAAUCUAACACGUCUAGGUGUAAUAUAAUCUAACACGUCUAGGUGUAAUAUAAUCUAACACGUCUAGGUGUAAUAUAAUCUAACACCUCAGGUGUAAUAUAAUCUAACACGUCUAGGUGUAAUAUAAUCUAACACGUCUAGGUGAUCAACACACAGCCAAUCAGACACUAACACACGUCAGGUGAUCAACACACAGCCAAUCAGACACUAACACAUGUCUGGUGAUCAAAACACAGCCAAUCAGACACUAACACAUGACAGGUGAUCAACACACAGCCAAUCAGACACUAACACAUGUCUGGUGAUCAACACACAGCCAAUCAGACACUAACACAUGUCUGGUGAUCAACACACAGCCAAUCAGACACCAACACAUGACAGCAGUGGAAACAGAAGAGCCAGAAGACUGGUAGGUAGUGUAGCUCUGCUCUUGGGCUCCCUGCUCAUCGUUCCUGGCUGGUGCCUGGACAUACAGUAGAUAUAUCUGCCAUCUCAUUACUGUGUAGAUGUGAGUUUGGGGAGUGUCAUUAGGACUGGCCCCCCUCGGUUAAAGACACACUGUUACAGAAGCUAGCCGGCUGCUUUAACGUUUCAUUAGAGCUUGUGAAUAAACAGUGGGCCUGUGGAGAUGUAAACUGGGAGAGGAUGAACGGUGGGGAGGAUUGUGAACCACAGAGAGACACUGAGGUUGGAACACAGAAUGAAUGACUAUAUAAUAUGAAGGUCUUUCUAUUCCAUUAGGAGUCUGUGCUGUUCAGUGGGCCUGUGGAGAUGUAAACUGGGAGAGGAUGAACGGUGGGGAGGAUUGUGAACCACAGAGAGACACUGAGGUUGGAACACAGAAUGAAUGACUAUAUAAUAUGAAGGUCUUUCUAUGCCAUUAGGAGUCUGUGCUGUUCAGUGGGCCUGUGGAGAUGUAAACUGGGAGAGGAUGAACGGUGGGGAGGAUUGUGAACCACAGAGAGACACUGAGGUUGGAACACAGAAUGAAUGACUAUAUAAUAUGAAGGUCUUUCUAUUCCAUUAGGAGUCUGUGCUGUUCAGUGGGCCUGUGGAGAUGUAAACUGGGAGAGGAUGAACGGUGGGGAGGAUUGUGAACCACAGAGAGACACUGAGGUUGGAACACAGAAUGAAUGACUAUAUAAUAUGAAGGUCUUUCUAUGCCAUUAGGAGUCUGUGCUGUUCAGUGGGCCUGUGGAGAUGUAAACUGGGAGAGGAUGAACGGUGGGGAGGAUUGUAACAUGUGAACCAAGAGAGGGAGGUUGGAAGGCUUUCUAUUCUAUUCCAUUUAUCUUCCAUUCUACUCUGUGCUGUCCUCAAUGUGACCUGUUAGAGAACGAAUGGUGGGGAGGAGGAGUCUAACACUUGAACCAUUGUCAAGACAGGUAGGUUGGAACCAUCAGAACGGUGGUAUUCAAAGUCAGGGGGCAACAGGGGAACUGCAGUGGGGUUCGCCCCCAAAACAAUGUAUAAUAAGAUACGUUUUUUUUAGAAAGAUAAUUUGACUGAGUAAAUUAUUUUAUUGGUUUUGUUUUCAUUUAAAGAGAGAUGAGAUAAGAGAUGAAAAUGUAAUGAAUUGAAGGUUAUUCAUUGCUGUAAAAAUCAACAUGUGUUAUUAGAUUUGGGGUGGCGAUACAUUCUGAAAAUGUUUGAGAUCCAAUAUAAUACUUUGUGUUCUGUGUUUAAUUAUUUGGUUUAAAGAUAGAAAUUGAAUGACUAUGUGUUAGUGUGUUUCUAUGGUUCGGGAGGCUUUCCAUGCGGUUCUAAAACUGGCUCCAAAAACAUUUAGGAGACAACAAGUCCAAGAAAAUAAUAUUGGACUGGUGAACACAGCCUGGUGACAACAGCCUGGUG